GCGGACGUAGUGCACGGUGCACCGCUGCCAUGCAUUGAUGUGUGUGUAUGUACUACAAUAGUAAGCAGCGAGACGGGGUUCGACUCCCCGCGUCCGCA